GACGAACCGUGCGAACGUUAUUCGGAAUCACUGGGCUUAAAGCGCGUGUAGGUGGACUUUUAAGUGCUUUGUGAAAUCCCACGGCUCAACCGUGGAACUGCUGGGCAUACUGGAAGUCUUGGGCCAUCUAGGGGCAACCGGAACAAGCGGUGGAGCGGUGAAAUGCGUAGAUAUCGCUUGGAACGCCAAAGGUGAAGACAGGUUGCUGGAGAUGUGCCGACACUGAGACGCGAAAGCCAGGGGAGCAAACGGG
rnacentral:rRNA from 1 species